rnacentral:rRNA from 1 species
GCAGCAGCCACGGUAAUACGUAGGUGGCAAGCGUUGUCCGGAAUUAUUGGGCGUAAAGGGCUCGCAGGCGGUUUCUUAAGUCUGAUGUGAAAGCCCCCAGCUCAACCGGGGAGGGUCAUUGGAAACUGGGAAACUUGAGUGCAGAAGAGGAGAGUGGAAUUCCACGUGUAGCGGUGAAAUGCGUAGAGAUGUGGAGGAACACCAGUGGCGAAGGCGACUCUCUGGUCUGUAACUGGCGCUGAGGAGCGAAAGCGUGGGGAGCGAACAGGAUUAGAUACCCCAGUAGUCCCUGUCUCUUAUAC